CGGCGACUCGCCGAAUGAGUUUCUGACCUAUCAACUCGAGACGGCGGGGGUAGAGGCCCGCCGCGGUAACGACGGGUAACGGGGAAUCAGGGUUCGAUUCCGGAGAGGGAGCCCGAGAAACGGCUACCACUUCCAAGGAAGGCAGCAGGCGCGCAACUUACCCUAAUCUCGAUUCGAGGAGGUAGUGACAAGAAAUACCGAUGCGGGACCCUACGGGUGCCGCGUUGGAAUGAGUACGAUUCGAACCACCUAACGAGGAACGAUCGGAGGGCAAGUCUGGUGCCAGCAGCCGCGGUAAUUCCAGCUCCAAUAGCGUACGUUAAAGUUGCUGCAGUUAAAAAGCUCGUAGUUGAACGUUCGGGUUCCGCGGGACGGGGCCGCCCCGCGAGGGACGGCGCCGCCCCGGGGCUCGUGAUAUCUUAUCUCGCCGCCCGUCGCGAGGCGGACGGAGGGAUGGAUGAGGUUACCUGGAAAAAAUCGGGG
rnacentral:rRNA from 1 species